rnacentral:lncRNA from 1 species
UCACUUAUAGAUUUGAAAUUUUUAAUUGAAUAAAGAAAUUAGGGAUGCGAAGGAGAAUUAUGUAAUUACACAAUGAAAGUUUGUAAAUAUAUUGGAGUGUGGAGAUGUAGUGCAAGCAUGAAUCCAACAAAUGACUGAUAACAAUAAUGAAAAGAAAGAGAGCUCAUCGAUAUGUGUGUUCAUUGUCAGCUUUGCAUUAUCCACCACUUAAAAUUAUUUAAUUUAAUUUGAUGAUUCACUUCACAAUCUAACAAUACUGUAAUCAUGCAAAAAUAUUUUGAUUUAUUAUUGUAAUAGCAUGAAAUCUAUUUGUUAUUUAUUAUUAUAAAAUCUUUGAAAAACAAAGCCCUGCUCAUAGUUUUGUAAAAUGAAUCUUUAGAUUAUUUCUUGGCCAAACUGAUGACCAUUCAAUAACUUAUUUGCCUCAGAAUUGAACCCUUUAAUCGAUUUACUUGCAUAUACAUCAGAUAUGCCCAUACAAGAAGGCGGCAUUCAUGUAAUGAUACAACUACUCUGUUUCUUUAAAAUAAGAAAAUUUUAUAUAACUAUUAAAAUUUGCAAUGCAACCAUUAACAAUCCAAAUCCCAUCAAAGCCAAAGCUAAUCAUCACCCUAAAUGACUUUAGAAACCUAAGAACCUCCAGCCAUUUCAUGCUUGCAACAAAACUUCAGCCAACCACAAAAUCAAAGUCAAUCCUCUUUUGCAAAACUUACAAUUGCUUCCGCUGCUACUUACAAUCACUGCCUGAUAACUGAAAAAUUACACGACUUGACGACCAGUAGUAGCACCCUAAGAAAGCUCACGAUCCUACGAAUCUCUAGAAGGAACCACCACGUCGGUAAAAAAAUAAAAAUGACCAGUUAAAAUAAGCAACCUUCACAACUACUAGAUUAAGAAUUACGCAAGGUGAAAGUAGGAAUGUGAAGUCGGUACAAAAUUUGCACCAUACAGACGAGGAAGGAAGAAUACAGAAUAAUCAUCCGAUCAAGUUAUGUCCUAUAUCAAAUAUUCAAAUCUAUAAGAACAGAAACUUGAGUAAUACCAUUUUCCAACAUUUACAGUGACGCAAGUAACCUUAACCUCAAAGGCUAGAUAUCGUUGGACACCUAGACACAGUACUACUCCGCUUAACCAAAAAAUAAGUAGACAAAGCACUGCACUAUAGACUCUGUUCCAUCCACCCUAAGAAUGUUUCUUCUGUAAUAAAAGAACUAGCUAUUGUCAAACUACCUUUGACAGAAUCACUUGAUUUCCUAGAAUGCUUAUGAUAGAAAAUGAAAACUGUAUCACAAUAACAUAGUUUGCUCAAAAAAAGGCAAAGUCGGCUGCUAAACAUGAGCAUAACAGCCAUGGAAGAGCUGCUCCGACCCAGACCAACCCCCACCUCCUCCACCAAAAUAAAUAAAUAUAUAUAUAUAUAGUUUUUUCCCCAUAAAUAAUCUUAUUAGAAGAGAUUUUGAAUUUUCAAGAAAUAGGAAUCUAAUGUUUGUGUUAGAAUCUCUAACGACGAUCUCCCACAUUUAACACACAUUGAAUGACUGAAAGUGGGAUAGAAUUGUCGUUACACAAGGAGUAUUUUGGCCCCAAUUUUAUGAGAAACCUAAAGUUUGAGGCAGAAAACAAGGAUGUCUUUAUUUGGAAAAAGUAUAUGCUCAAUAGUUGGUCCUAAACAUAGUUGGUCUACCGUCCUAAAUCUGAAUAUAAAAUUGUGCUGUCCAUAUAUAAAUCUAGGAUCACAAACUCAUUUCAGNNN